rnacentral:rRNA from 1 species
UACGUAGGGCGCAAGCGUUGUCCGGAAUUAUUGGGCGUAAAGAGCUCGUAGGCGGCCUGUUGCGUCCGCUGUGAAAUCCCGGGGCUCAACCCCGGGCCUGCAGUGGAUACGGGCUGGCUAGAGGCAGGCAGGGGAGAACGGAAUUCCUGGUGUAGCGGUGAAAUGCGCAGAUAUCAGGAAGAACACCCGUGGCUAAGGCGGCUCUCUAGUACGUGACUGACGCUGAGACGCGAAAGCGUGGGGAGCGAACAGG